UCUGUGAUAACAGUAUAAUCAGAGAAAACAA
rnacentral:piRNA from 1 species